rnacentral:rRNA from 1 species
UAAUACGUAGGGUGCAAGCGUUAAUCGGAAUUACUGGGCGUAAAGCGUGCGCAGGCGGUUCGGAAAGAGAGGUGUGAAAUCCCAGGGCUUAACCUUGGAACUGCACUUUUAACUCCCGAGCUAGAGUAUGUCAGAGGGGGUGGAAUUCCGCGUGUAGCAGUGAAAUGCGUAGAUAUGCGGAGGAACACCGAUGGCGAAGGCAGCCCCCUGGGAUAAUACUGACGCUCAUGCACGAAGGCGUGGGGAGCAAACAGGAUUAGAUACCCUGGUAGUCCACGCCCUAAACGAUGUCAACUAGUUGUCGGGUCUUAAUUGAUUUGGUAACGCAGCUAACGCGUGAAGUUGACCGCCUGGGGAGUACGGUCGCAAGAUUAAAACUCAAAGGACUUGACGGGGACCCGCACAAGCGGUGGAUGAUGUGGAUUAAUUCGAUGCAACGCGAAAAACCC